UCACUGUAGAUGUUACUGUACAACACACUGAAUAUUGGAUCAGUCUUUGAGAAGCACUGUAACAUGACCUGCACAAAGAGACAGACCACACUCAGGAUUCAGCUGCGUCCUUCUGAAUGUGAAAAGGAAGACCUGACACAAAGGGAUACAAAAUAUCAAUACCUUCCAUUCUCCCUGUGUCUCAGUCCCCUGAAUCACCAAGGGGCGAUUAGAUUCGAGAUGGCUUGAAAUAUGUUGACUGAGACACUAAUGUGGAAUUAGUAGGCCUGGAAAAGAAGAAAUAGAUCUGCAGAAAAACAUGCAAUUCUG
rnacentral:lncRNA from 1 species